UGGGGAAUAUUGCACAAUGGGCGCAAGCCUGAUGCAGCCAUGCCGCGUGUAUGAAGAAGGCCUUCGGGUUGUAAAGUACUUUCAGCGGGGAGGAAGGGAGUAAAGUUAAUACCUUUGCUCAUUGACGGUACCCGCAGAAGAAGCACCGGCUAACUCCGUGCCAGCAGCCGCGGUAAUACGGAGGGUGCAAGCGUUAAUCGGAAUUACUGGGCGUAAAGCGCACGCAGGCGGUUUGUUAAGUCAGAUGUGAAAUCCCCGGGCUCAACCUGGGAACUGCAUCUGAUACUGGCAAGCUUGAGUCUCGUAGAGGGGGGUAGAAUUCCAGGUGUAGCGGUGAAAUGCGUAGAGAUAUGGAGGAAUACCGGUGGCGAAGGCGGCCACCUGGACGAAGACUGACGCUAAGGUGCGAAAGCGUGGGGAGCAAACAGG
rnacentral:rRNA from 1 species